rnacentral:rRNA from 1 species
UACGUAGGGUGCAGGCGUUAAUCGGAAUUACUGGGCGUAAAGCGUGCGCAGGCGGUCUUUUAAGUCAGAUGUGAAAUCCCCGGGCUUAACCUGGGAACUGCGUUUGAAACUGGAAGGCUAGAGUGUGGCAGAGGGGGGGUGGAAUUCCACGUGUAGCAGUGAAAUGCGUAGAUAUGUGGAGGAACACCGAUGGCGAAGGCAGCCCCCUGGGCUAACACUGACGCCUCAUGCACGAAAGCGUGGGGAGCAAACAGG